GACACGUAUAGAAGAUGACAGAAACACCCUCUUCCUCAUCACCACCACAGAGAAUAGCAACAAAUAAAAGGCAUCAUUCAAACAGGAGAGAAAGCACAAAGAACAGCUUGGUCAUUCUACACCAUAUUGUAGAGAAAAGGUGAGGUAAGACACAGUUGAUGAUUGCAGAUAUAAUUCCAUGGCGCAAGGGAAGGAUCAUUGAGUGGGGGAGGGUCUGUGGUACAGGCAGGUCUGGAUCGAGUUGGUUUCACUGGGGCAGGGCUUUCAGGAUGGCAUUCACCUCCUCCGCCACAGCGGUCAGGGCAAACUCAAACUGCUCCUGUAGGGAAAAUGAUCAUUAUGUGAUUUAAAUUGAACAGUGAAUAGAUGGGUUAUAAUCCAAUUGUGGAUGUACGUUAUGGUCUGAUGACACAAUGCAUGUCAUGUUUGGGAAUUUAUCCACCAUAGAUGAUAUACUGUACAUACACAAGGUUGUAUUUAUGACAGUACCUUGGUGCGCACCAUCCCUGGUCUCUGGUCACGGACGUGUUCCAGGGUAGCAGCAAUGUCAAUCUCCUUCACUCCUUCACACAAACUUCAAUUUUAGGCCAAAAAUGCAUGCAGAACACACUCCUAUACCAAAAUCACACAUACAUUUACAUACACGGAAAUGGACAGUCCAAUAUGCUUACCCUUGGCCAUGCGGUUCAGGACCAUGUCAAUCAGGAUGUAGGUGCCAGUUCGGCCUGUACCAUCACUGUGUAGGAAAACAUGAAGAUCUGAACAUUAAUAAUAGACCAAACAAUAAACAUAUCAACUUACAACUGUUGUUUGCUGAGGAGGCUGGUUGUUUGCUUCCUGCUGUGUUUUGUGUAUGUAAUGUGCAAGCUGUGCUAAGAAUUCGGUCUUGUUGGACAAUAAAUGUCAAUCUAUAUAGCAUGCAUUAUUUAGUCAUAACACCACCACAGAUAAUGGAGUGCAUUCAGAGAGGAAGAGGCGAAGUGAGAGGGAUAACCCAAAAUCUCUGUUCCCCAGCAGGUGGCGUUUUUCCAUUUUCUUUCCGCACACCAAGCAAUGAGUUUUUGUAUGGUGGUCAAUGAAUGUCGAAUUUGGUUAACAAAAAAUGUAAUGGUUUAUUUGUUACGUGAGGUUUAUUUGAUCGAAUAUAAGUUUUGUAAUUCUUAGGUUGUUGCGCGUGUAUAAGUAGAACACGUGACAUCCAGGCAACUUUAUAUCGAAGUUGUGCCUGUGCUAUGCGGGAUCUUUAACCGUUUUACAAUUCAACGGGAUAGGGACGUCUCAAGGAUCCCAGCUAGCAAAUACCAUUGCGGUUGUUCACACGCGUAUCUGCCCUCUCAUUGGCUAGAAUGACAUUUUUACAUGUUAGUCAUUUAGCAGACACUAUUAUCCAGAGUGAUUUACAGCAGUGAGUGCAUACUUUUUUUGUACCUCUGGUGUUGCAAGCGCCACACUCUACCAACUGAGCCACACGGGUCAGAAGGGUCCCACCUGUCUUGCCUCGUCCCGACUGUCUUCCAUUUUUUUAAGACAUUUAUUUUCAUUGUUAGGGCGGCCAAUGAAGCAUCUGGGUCAAUAUAGUGGAACAUCAGUGCUACAUUUACACUCUCUCCGACAACACCUGAACCAAGCAGCAUCUGAAAGAGAAUCGCGAGGUUCUGCCACCAUGCGGACAAAAGUGGUAUUGCAAACGUUGGUUUACCUGCAGUGUACAAUGAUCGGACAAGAUCUGCCUCUGUAGCACUUAUUCACCUUUCUGUGGAGCAGCAGGGAGAGAGGGAGAUCAAAUAUAAGUGAAUACUGAAUAAAUAGUGAACACUGAUGGAGAACAUAUAUAUUGAUCAUGCUUGACAAUGGCAAGUCAUACAAACGUCAGAUAAGCUAAAAUGAGGACAACAACACAAAUCCUAGCUCGAUUGCAGCCGUGUCCUAAUUAAUAAAAAUGUUAAAGUCGCAUUCCAGGCCGUUUACAUUGCAGAUGUUGCAUUGCAUCAACCAAUGGUUGCGUGCCACGUCAUCUGACUGUGCAGUUGGGCAUCAGACUGCGUAAUCACACGAUGUGGCUCGCUGAUCUUUUUUAAAGACCUAUGCAAGCAUUAGGAGAUCUGGCAGCAAUAUAGUCGCACUGGAACGCAGCGGUUCUAAACAAGCAGUCAGUGUGUAUUCAAUAUGGAGGAAAACAGCCCUGUUUUGAAGCUCCACUCCAGUUUAACAAUCAUUAUAGGAUGAAAAUAAUUUCUAGAUAAAGAGGAGCGUUCGCAGCAUAGUGAUGAGGAGGAGAGUCAAAAGGGUGAGAGAAAUGUAGACAGAGAGAGUAUAAAACAGGGAGAGAGACGAGGGAGCAAAGGGGUUAGGCGAUGGACCUCCUGCUGCAGCCACACCUGUCCAUGAUCAUUUUUGUGACUAUGCAACUGGACCCAGACUACUAGCUGCAAAUCACAAAGAUGACACGGACAGAUAUGUAAAAUAUCAUGAGCCCGCUGACCUCCAUCGCAAGAUAGAUGUGUGAGAGCAAAGAAGAGGAGGGACAGAGGGAGAGAUGUGAGGAGGGAUUGAAAGAGAAAGGCUAAUUAAGUAAAGACAACACACAGAGAGAGACAGAGCGAGACAGACAGAGUGUAAAAGGAAAGAGAGCAGGAUGGAUGAGUGAAAUGACAUAUGUUGUAUAUGUUUUGGUCAUCCCAUCAUCUAGUAGGGAUCAGAUGAGUAAAAUGGAUUUAGGAUUAUAAGGAGUUGUGGACAGAGAAAGGUCUGUGAAACUGACACUGUUGAUGAGUGACAAAGGAAUGAGACCAAACGAGAUAGGAGCAUGGUCUGGCAAAACCAUAGGAUGUAUCAUAUAAUAAAACCCCUUCCAAACCUCAAAAUGUCAAACAUUCUGUUGUCCUGUAAAUCUGGCUUGUGUUCAUUAUAGCAUGCAAUGUUUUAGUGUUUUUCAAACGGAAAAUGAAAAUGAGCAGUAGUCACUCCCUGUUUCAGUCCAUUUUUCCCUGCCAUUUCGUGCCUAGUAAACACAACCCUGCUUCAAUGUCCAUGCGGUACCUGCGGAAGUCCAGUAGGGUGCGUGUGGAGGUGGGGAUGCCCUGGGCAGGCCAGCUGAGGAAGUGGAACUGGGUGAGUGUGCGGGUCUCCUGGGUCUGGACGUUCUUCAGGUAGAAACUACGAACCAGGAAGUCAUUGCACCAGAUGUGCUCCGAAACCAGGUUCACCUGAUGGACACACAGACCAUUGUUACAGAUCAGGACAGACAGACAGACACACACACACCAACGUCAGACACACACACCUCAUAGAUGUGGGUAGAGGGAGAUCCCUCGUCGGGCCAAAGCGAUCACACUGUUUCUCUCCGUCCUCAACCAGGGCUGUCAUCAUCACUAUCACCGUGCAGCCAUUCUCCCAAACCAUCUAUAGAGGAACACCAUCACACACACCACAUAGAACAUGUAAACAGAGCUUGGAGACCAAUAACAUCAUAAUGUAAUCUUCUUUCAUCAUCACAGUGACAUGUGUUUUGAGUGUUGAUUUGGGUGAACAAAUGUUAGUACACAUUAUAUGGUUCAAUUAGGGUACAUUCUUAAAACAUUUAGAUUAAAGCAGCAGCAGCAACAAAUUGGCAUGUCCCUAAAGGACAAUAAAGUUUUGCAUUGAAUUGUAUUCAUAUACACACAUAUGAACACUCAUCCGGAAUGACUGACCUGCCAGAAGUCGGCGAUGGUGUGAGACAGGGGUCCUUGGGUGGCGAUGUACGUUGGCAUCCGGGGUCAUGCUCAAUCUAGGGGUCACAGAGAAAGGUCAUCAUGGGUCACCUCCUGGCAUCCACAAAGAGGACACUAUGGGCACUGGUGUGCCGUGGCAACAGCUCCAUUCACUGACCAGUGGCAUUUACGGGGCGGUGAGUGGAUCUGCUUCCCAAAUGGCACCCUAUUCCCUAUAUAGUGCACUUC
ensembl:lncRNA